UACGAAGACUAUCUUGGAUUUUUAUGCACGACUCCUGGGAUCGACUCACACGAGAUUCUAAACUACACGCAUCAACCGUGCAACUACACGCUCGGGCAUCCGUACAAUCUGAAUUCGCCAUCUGUCGCGAUUUCCCACCUUGUUGGAACUCAAACUGUCACUCGAACAGCCACAAAUGUCAAUGAAGAAGAAACCUACACCAUCACUUCAAAAAUGGGACCCGCGAUAGCCAUUGAAACUAGCCCGCCGGCUAUGACCAUAGGACCGGGUGCAUCGCAAAAGUUCACGGUUACUCUGACCGUCCGGUCAGCUAGUGGGGCCUACAGUUUUGGGGAGGUUUUGUUGAAAGG
rnacentral:lncRNA from 1 species